UACGAAGGGUGCUAGCGUUGUUCGGAAUCACUGGGCGUAAAGCGCGCGUAGGCGGCUUAGCAGGUCAGAGGUGAAAGCCUGGAGCUCAACUCCAGAAUUGCCUUUGAAACUGUUAAGCUGGAGUGUUGGAGGGGAUAGCGGAAUUGCUAAUGUAGAGGUGAAAUUCGUAGAUAUUAGCAGGAACACCGGUGGCGAAGGCGGCUAUCUGGAACGCAACUGACGCUGAGACGCGAAAGCGUGGGGAGCAAACAGG
rnacentral:rRNA from 1 species